GCCAUCGGAAGUACGGAUGGUGCAGCCUGCACACUGGUGAAGAGCCGCGGUACCAUGACCGUGCACAGGUAGCAUAAUCAGUCGCCCCCUAACUAGGGGCUGGGAUGAAAGGCCACACCCAGUUGGAGGUCUUCGACCUCAAACCUCACCUGACCUUCCAAAGGAAGUCAUCCACCCCCGGGACGAGAAGACCCUGGGAGCUAAGAGAGGCUCUCGGUUGGGGCAACCAGGAGCGAGAGCGAUCACGAACGAGCUACCCCAGGGAUAACAGCACGCUGGCCCCUAAGAGCACUCAUCGAAGGGGCAGUUGGUGACCUCGAUGUUGAGUUGAGGACCGGAGUAGCCGGGGUCUGUUCGACCCGUAGCCACUCACA
rnacentral:rRNA from 1 species